GGUAACACAAAUAAAAGUGAGGUAAGAACCAGCUGAUGAAAAGGUGGUAAAAACUGUUUUUCACAUGACAUACGAAUGAGAGGUGACAUAGCUCAAUGAUAGACUUGCAGGCUUAGAUGUAAGUGGCCCUUUAUUCAACACCAGCACAAAUGCCUAGAUUCCCCAAAUGAGAAGUUUACACAAGGGUCAAUGACAGUGAAAUAUAGUCAGUCUUCCCGAUGGUUUGGAUAAAGUACAUAACAACAUGUUAGGUCAGCAGAUGUUACUAGAGAGCCUCCGUUGUGAUUACCUUCUUCUCUAUUUUGUUUUGUUUUAAUGUUAUGACAUUAUUGAAUGACUGUAAGAGUGAAUGACACUGCACCUCCUCCUAUCUGGAAAGAUCUAUUCCUCCUGGACUUGCUGAUUGCCUCAAUUCAGACUUUGGAUCCAUCCUGGUAAUAAAGAAAAUGUACAGUCACAGAAACCAAGAAGGCACUAAAAUAGAUGCAGCAGAGUCAGCAUCUAAGAGACAAAGUUUCCAUGGAAAUCAAGUUUCAUGCAUUCCAGCCAAGAAUCAACUUUGAACUUCUGAUAUAGCUACCUCCAUUUCUUGAGUGCU